AGAAUCAACGCUGGCGGCGUGCCUAACACAUGCAAGUCGAACGAGAAAAUGGAGCAAUCCAUGAGUAAAGUGGCGCACGGGUGAGUAACACGUGACUAACCUACCCUUGAGUGGGGGAUAACUUCGGGAAACCGAGGCUAAUACCGCAUAAUACCUACGGGUCAAAGGAGCAAUUCGCUUUAGGAGGGGGUCGCGGUCGAUUAGUUAGUUGGCGGGGUAAUGGCCCACCAAGACAGUGAUCGAUAUCCGGCCUGAGAGGGCGCACGGACACACUGGAACUGAAACACGGUCCAGACUCCUACGGGAGGCAGCAGUGGGGAAUCUUGCGCAAUGGGGGAAACCCUGACGCAGCAACGCCGCGUGGAGGAUGAAGUCCCUUGGGACGUAAACUCCUUUCGAUCGGGACGAUUAUGACUGUACCGGAAGAAGAAGCCCCGGCUAACUUCGUGCCAGCAGCCGC
rnacentral:rRNA from 1 species